rnacentral:rRNA from 1 species
UACGUAGGGGGCAAGCGUUGUCCGGAUUUAUUGGGCGUAAAGAGCGUGUAGGCGGUUUGGUAGGUCCGCUGUGAAAACUCGAGGCUCAACCUCGAGACGCCGGUGGAAACCAUCAGGCUAGAGUCCGGAAGAGGAGAGUGGAAUUCCUGGUGUAGCGGUGAAAUGCGCAGAUAUCAGGAGGAACACCGGUGGCGAAGGCGGCAACCUGGUCCUUGACUGACGCUGAGGCGCGAAAGCGUGGGGGAGCAAACAGG